GUCAAUCUUCCACUAACAGCCUUCAGAUGAAGAUGGAGAACUCUCAGCUUUGCCUGCACCAGGCCUGCCUGGAUGUUACCAUGCUCCCGCCUUGAUGAUAAUGGCCUGUUGUCGUCACAUGGUUGCAAGGCUGUCCAACAGGAAUAAGGCCACACCAGCUGCCUUCCAUUCCAGUGUCUACACGGAGUCUGUGCUUUCCCUGAAGAAGAACAGCAAGUGAUACUUCCAGACAGUACCAAGAGAUUCCUUCUACAUAAAAUGCUGCAAAGUCCACUGUUUUAAAUUUAAGCUCCUCAUUCACGGUGAUAUGUAUUUCAUUGUUAUAGCUAUAAGCAGUUUAGUCAAACAAUAGGAAGAUAACAAAUACUGAUGAAAAUCAGUCAUUAAACUUGAAGGUAUCCAUACAAACCACACACGCCAAUGGCCCUUUAUCCCUUUGCAUUAACAUUUCCAGAAAUGGUUGUCUUCCUUUACUGUCUUCAACUUCCUUCUCUCUUAGUUUCAUUCCAAUUAAGCAUCCCUCGCCUCUUCAAAAGUAGCUUUCAUCAGGUAACUAACCAAAGGUCUCUGCAUUUUUAAUUCCAAUCGUCAGCUAUUUGUUCUCACAUGGGUUGGUUUCUUGAUAAGAUUUGCCAUGGAUUUUCAAUGUCUGAACUAUCAUCUUUCUUUGGUUCACAGAACAUAGGUACAUGUAAGUUUUUAUCUUAACUCACACCUGACUGGCAAGCCCCUCUUUCUCUCUCCAAACUCCUUCAUUUGCAGGACUUUGACUCUAGUCUCUUGAGUUUCAACUGGAUCCUUCUCCAUAUCCCACCAUGUAUUCUGCAGCCAAAUGACCUAGAUGAUGUCAAUCCCUGGAUUGGAGUACUAUUAUUUUCCCCAACUUCUGGUUUUCAAGGGCUAAAAAUCUAUUUUCUAUAUCCUGAUCUUUCGUCUCAAGCCUACCCUACUCAGCUUUUGUUCUCUGCUUAUGAUUGCACCAUCCUUUCAGCUGUUGGCCAAAUAUUUUCCUGUUUACACACAACUUAUAACCCACGAGGAUUCCUCCACACUGCUUGCUCAAAUCUCAAGAAGAUCUCCUUAUCCAUCAGUUUGUUCUUCACUGGGCAGUUGCCCUGAGCCUUAUAAGAAAUAAGCCAGACCUCACACCAGUAACUUAAGAGAGAUCUACUUAGGUUUCUAAAUGUGUGCCUUCCCCUUUCAAGACCUCUGGUGUGGAGAACAUCAGUCACAGUUAAUGAACCCUUGUUUUGAGGUAGCUAGAAUUGAUAUGUGCAUAGUGGUUAACUGAAUAGGUGCUAAAAUGUUUGUGGAUCCAAAUCCAUCUCAAACAGUGCAAGUUUUGUUUUUAAAUCUAUAAAACUGGAAUAAAUGGGUAGUUAUAGGGCACCAAUGGUUUGAUAUGUAAAAUCCUAACAAUGGCAUCUGACUGAUAACAAAUGUAAAGAAACAUCUGCUCUUCUUUUUAUUAUCAAACUGAAACAGAGACACCACAAAACUGAAGAUUUUUAAUUUUAGAAAUUUUGCUUUUCAGUUUUUGCCAAGAAUAUUAGAAUAACAUUUUCAGGGAGCAAUUUGAGAAGCAGUACUUAAUAACAUAGUCCUAGCCAGUUAACUGAACACGACUUACAGUAAAAUGAGGAGUUACACCUGAGAAACUGCCUAGACCAACCUAGCUGGUGGGCAUGGCUAUGGGCGAAUGCCCUGAUUAUUAGCUGAUGUAGGAGGGACUGGCCCACUGUAGACAGUAUCACUCUAUAAAAAGGCAUAUCGGGGGUGUACCUGUAAGCAGAAGCCUAGGAGCCAGCCCCAGUAUCUUCCAUGGUUCAUGUUCAACUUCUGAGUUCUUAGUUGGAGGUAAUUCGUGUGCAAUAGUAAAGAGGUUGCAUUUAUGUUCCUGCCUUGCCUUCCUUUAAUGAAGGACUGGACUCUAGAAUUGUAAGGUGAAAUAAACCUGUUCUUUCUGUGAUUUUGUUUGGCUGCAGUGUUUUUUCACAACAGUAGACAUGAAAUUAGGACAAACACACAGCAUAUUGUUCCUUGUUCAGAAUGUUUGAAUGCACGAGUUUAAGUUGUGCAGAACAAGCCUUCCUGGUAUAGUAUCCUCACUUCCACAGCUCCUGUAGAAGAUGUGCAAACCCUUGAAUCAGAAUGUAAAUGCACUGAUAUCUGUGGGGUUGGUUUUUUUUUCUUUUGGUUUUGAUUUUUUGUUUGUUUGGUUUUGGAGGAAUGAAGGAAAGUAACUUUUGAUUCACUGAGGCAAAAUCAUGGUAAGAAUCCUGAAAGAAAUAUACCUUAAUGUAAUUUCCUCCCAUUUCUGUACUGCAGAAGAGCUUAUUACAAGAGGGCACAAUUCAAUCUAAGAGUCAUAUGCGUUUAAAGCAGCAUGUGACAUGUCAUCAUUCUUCAUGUUUUAUCUCUCUGUAGGUACACUCAGGGUGACCUGUUCACAUUCAAACUCUACUUGACUGAAGGUCUAUUUUCUCCUAUUGCAAAUAUGCAUAUAUAUGCAUGCAUGAGUGCAUGAGUGAGGCCACGUCUUUCUUUGUCACAUUUCCUCUGUGGUAGUGUCUCUAACAUGAUAUUCACUGUAUUUUUUUCUUUAUAUUUCAUACAGCUAAUAAGAACUAUCUAUGUGAGUGAUGGACAGGGUGUUGCUCUGUAAAUUCUGGGGCUGAACUUGUAAGGAAAAAAAAAAGGAAAGGAAAGGACAGCUGCUCUCUUGCUUGAAGAUUACUUCUUUGAGGAAGGCUGGUCACUGUGUCACAGAGACCUCAAGGGCUCUUUUGGGAGACUAAUCUGUUACUUCUAUAUAUAGACAACCGAUGCCAGCUCGCCUGCUGUGUAAGUGGGCUGCAUGCCACCUGUGAGUCAAUGCCAGGACAAAUGAGUCUCCUAAGACGCUUUGCUUGAAGAGUCAGCCAACUUCCAAAUCCUGACCACAGAGAAACUUUGCAAGAUAAAACAUGAUUAAAGUUGUUUGAGCCACAGGUUCCAAGAAACAGCAACAGUUGGCUAAAGCUCUCUAGUCUCAGCCCUGUCCAGAUGCCGUGGUUUGUACUGUUUCAUUUGCCUUCCGGCUGCCGUAUUUGUUCCCUCCUUCUGUCUCCUUUCAGCUUUAAGUGACUAGGAGAUAGAAAAUUCAUUAUUUUAAAAUUUUGUUUGAAAGAGCACAUAGAUUCCUUUUUAAAAAAGUAAAGGAUUGGCAAGUUUAAUUUUCUUUGUGUGUGUGUUUCCUAAAGGGAAAGAAAAACAAAACAACAAACAAACAAAAAAACCAAAACCAAAACAAGACACACAAAAGCUCCCAGUACCCAGAAAUUAUCUGAAAUGAUUCCUCCCUAUUCAUCUUUAUUUGAGCUGUCAACCUGAUAGUGCUAAGGUCAGAAAGAAGAAAUGAUCCCCACAAGGUAUUUUAGAUUAGACAGGUCCCACAGUCAUCACGUAGAGCAUAUGAUACCAGAUGCUGCCUGUGUGUGAUAUACUUUAUAUAAUUAUUUAAAAGACUACAUCUUAGCAAGAAUUAUCCACAUUACAAAAUUUUGCAUAAUGGGAAGAAAGCAUUAAAAUAUCACACACUACCUCACUUUCUAUCCAAUAAUCACUUAAGUUGUCUUCAUUUAAAUAAACAAUAAAUUGUGACCAAAUUGGUCUUUUAUAUUUCAUUAGGAUGUUAUUGUUUCAAAUGAGAAAAAAUCUAAUCCAGACAUAUUUCAGAGGCAACAUACAAGCGGCUGCCUCCUGUAUACUAUAUUCAGAAUUAUUUACUUUCCUAAUUGUUUUUCAUUUGGUAAAUUUUGUUUUAGUUUGCUGUUACUGAUUCUCAGUAGCCUGGGAGCCUCAGAAAGAUGGAAAAAAACAGGUACUUACAUCAUAGUGGAGUUGCCAACAUAUUUACAACCUUAUCAUUUGACAGGGAAGGUCAGAACUUUCCUGAGUUUAUUCAUAACCUAGCACCAGCUUUCAAUUCUUUGAAAAUUGCUCCUUGAUACCCAGCUUCCCUGAAAUCACAGAGUGGCAGCCACUCUCUUCAGGUAUAAAUCAGACUCUAAAUAACUGAUAGCAUUUCCCCCUCCACACCUCCACAGGAAGCACACUGCACGUUUACUGGUGAAUGCGGGCAACUCAGAAAAGCUGCACCAAGGAUGUUCUUAGAGCUUAAUUUCUAGAGUCAUUGGUAGGAAAACAGUCUCUGAGGUUAUAAAAGUAAAGGUCCCAUUCUUGAGUAAUGCUGGCAUUUCAAUAACCACUUUACUUUUAUCCUCUGAAUCUAAAUUAAUCAAAUUUAGUCUCUGUGAGUCACAAAAAAUCCAAGCACAACAUAGUUAUUUUACCCCCCCAGAAUGACCAAAACAUGAAUGAGUUUGGCAUGCUGUAACAUGAGGCAACGCCAUGCUGGCAAGGGAGGUGGAUACACACAGAAACAUUUCCAACUGGUAAUUAAAAAGAGAGCUAAACCUUUUGAAAAUUUAUUUAUUAUUCUUGGAUAUUUUAUGGAUUUACAUAUCAAAUGUUAUUGGCUUUCCCCCUCUCUCACCUCCUUCUCCCUGCUUCUAUGAAGGUGCUCCCACUCCCUCACACCCACUCCCACCUCAACACCCUGGCAUUUGUCUACAAUGGGGAAAAGCCUUCACAGGGCCUAGGGCUUCUCCUUUUAUUGAUGUCUGACAAUGCCAUCCUCUGCUACAUGUGUGGCUGGAGCCAGGGGUCCCUCCAUGUAUACUCUUUCGUAGGUGGUUUUGUUCCUGGUAUGGUAAUGGUGGCUCUGGUUGGUUGAUGUUGUUCUCCCUAUGGGGUUGCAAACCACUUCAGCUCCUUCAGUCCUUUCUCUAACUCCUCCGUUAGGGUCCCUGUGCUCAGUCCCAUGGUUAGCUGCAAGCAUCCGCAUCUGUAUAAGUAAGGCUGUGGUAGAGUCUUUCAGGAGACAUUCAUAUUAGGCUCCUGUCAGCAUGCACUUCUUGGCAUCAGCAAUAGUGACUGGGUUUGGUGGCUGCAUAUAGGAUGGAUCCCAAGGUAGGGCAGUCUCUGGAUGACUUUUCUUCAGUCCCUGAUCCACUCUUUGUCCCUGUAUUUCCUCCUGUGAGUAUUUUGUUCCCCCUUCUAAGAAGGACAAAUAUUUUUUAUUGGUUUUUUAUUUAUUUACAUUUCAAAUGUUACCCCUUUCCUGGUUUUCCCUCUGGAAAGCCCCUAUUCCAUCCUCCCUCCCCCUGCUUCUAUGAGGGUGUUCCUCUUAUCCACCCACUCCCACCUCUCCGCCCUGGCAUUCCCCUACACUGGGGCAUAGAGCCUUCAUAGGACCACAAUCAUUGGACUGGGUCCCCAUUGGAGAAAUUAGAGAAAGGACUGAAGGAGCUGAAGGGGUUUGCAACCCCACAGGAAGAACAACAAAACCAACAAACCAGAUUCCCCAGAGCUCCCAGGGACUAAACCACCAACCAAAGAGCAAAAUCUUUUGAAUUUUCCCCAUGAAAGAGCACUGUUUCUUCACUGCAGAAGUCAUUAGGGAAAAGACCUUGGGAAGUCUUUUUCUUACCGUUAGUGACAUUAUUUAAAAUAUUUACAGUCGUGGUUAUCAAACACUUCUGAUUGUAUAUACUUGAGAUGAGAUGGUAUACUUGAGAAAAGGUUAAAAAAAAGUGUUAGGCAAAAUAGCAAUCUUUAAUUUAAAGAUUAUCUGUAUGAAAAUUUAGAUAGUUUUCCAUUUAGUUUUGUAUCUUAGGGACAGAUAAUACAAUUUUGUUAGCAGUAACAAGGUGACAAUUUGUUAACAAUAUUGUGAUUUGACUUCAAUUUCUUAAUUAAUCUAUCAUCUUAUUGUUGGCAUCAAUUAGGAGAAUUAAUUAAGAGAAUCAGCUUUUUGUACUGAGAACCCAGGUAGACUUGAUAUUUGGCUACUGGGCUGAAUGAUUUUGCAUAAUAAAACUCCUUCUAUCAAUUAUUUUAUUGUUUCUUAACAUGGAUGUGAUCUAAUGGUGCAGUGAGUGGACUGAAUAAGUAGCUCGCAUAAAGCACUUAUCAAUAUUAUUUUGUUCUGUACACUAACAACAGAGACAGCUCUAGUGGGGGAAACAGUAAUAUCAAGUCAAAGGCAAUUGCUGACGCAUCAUACCACAUGACUGAAGCUUCACAGUGAGGCACUGGGAGGUUUUAGUUUUUAUUCUCUUCCUUUAGAAAAAAAAAGGUGCAUGUGGAAAGGAACCCUUGUGAAUUUUUGUGAGUAGCAUAGACUUCAUGGGUCUCCUUAGAAGUCUAUGUAAGGCCUCAUUUCACAAGGGUAAAAAAAAAAAAAACUGAGGAUCACGGCCAGGAUUUCAUUAUAGAGGACAGAGUUCCCAUUAAGGGUAUGUCCACAGCUUCCUACCAAGUCUUUUAAGUCAAGGAUUCUUCUGGGAAAGAAUAAAAGAAGAAAAAAAUAGAGUAAAGAUACUCAAACUAAUGAACUAAAACCUUUUUUGAUUCACCCCAAACGUACAGGCUGUGGGGAGUCAUCCUGCCUUUUCCCAUUAAUGACUAAACUCUCUAAUCCUUGAAAUAACUUUGAACAUGUGACCUGCAAAGCAACAGGUCAUUCUUUUGUUCAGUGACCUCUCUCUCAUGGCCACCAGCUCAGGACAAAUGGCGAAGGCUGAAAUUAGCCUGUCCUCACAGGAUAAGCACUGCUCAGGGAAGCGAGGGUCUGAACACAACUGGAGAUGCAGGAGCUAAAGAACACGCAAGUGGGAGAGCCGUGUCUGGAUGGAAAGGACUGAUUUCCAGAGAUGCUACCUCAAAGAAGAUGAAACCCAAGGAAAGGAAACGGAAAGCAUGAGGGUCAUGUCAAUGCUGUAGCUAACUGCACUUUACAGAACUGGACUGCUGGUGUUUACAACCGGAUGGAGCUGCUGCUGCUAACCUGUGAACUGAACUGCCAAUUUCCAGACAACACAGAUGGGAGCUGUUCCUAAGAACCUUUCUAAACAGGUCCACUUCCCAUGUAUCCUUUCUUUCUCAUUAUCUCUGUUGGGUGAUGGGCUAAAAAGGAGGUUAAAACAUUUAAGAACCAUCAUUAAAAACAGGUUUUGAAAAAAAUUAAAGUUAUAAUAAGCCAGUUCUUAAAAUUGGAAACUAGUCUCUGACAAGAUGGGUCUUUAGGAGGAAGGACACUGCAGGAGCCUCCCAAGUAUAUACUUGUCUUGCUCUAAAUAUGUUAGGGUGACUUCCUAUGGUUCUCAUGUGGAACAUGUCUUAACAGAAAGAGGUUCCCAGAUAUUUAAUAGACAUGAACAAUGAAGAUUUGGAAUAUACAACAAUAUCCUAGCCUCCCUGUCAGACUGUGGUUGUGGGUGGAGAUAAAUAAAAAAAUAGAUUCUUGGACUUGGUCUAUCUCAUUCUAGUGUCAUGAUUCCAUAGGGCAUCUAAUACUUCAGUGUGAAACCAAAAUGGUCAUAUUUGAUAGUUUUUCUAACUAUAUUCUUAUAUUAAUUUGCCACAUAUGGGAUAAAAAGUAGAAUAGGGCAAAAGAAUUACCUUGAACUGUUUAGAUAUUGUGAAGAUUUGUGAAAAUUCCCACAGAUUAUCACAAUAGACCAAAGAGGCUCCACAAUAGUGUAGUAUUUUUGCUAAAGGAGGCAUUUUCUGUUUUCCAGAGUCCAUGGCAAUGGUCUACAGCAACUAAAGGGGUUGAUAUAUAAAUCCUUCUAUCAUAUUUGGUUUUAUCUGGAGCGUCUUGAUCUACUUGAACUUGACCUUUGUACAAGGAGCAUGUGCACAUGAGAGCAGUGGUGUGGAGGCCAGCGGAGGAAGAAGGGGCCUGGAGCUGGAGUUACAAGUAGUUGUCAGCUACCUCACCGUGAUCCUGAGAGUCUAACUGAACCUCUAGAAGGACAUGAUGUUAUCUGGAAGAUCCUGAAAAGAUGGUGGUCAUCACGGGAUCAGGAAAGAAGGCCAUCCCCUGAACAUGCAACACUAACAAACAAUGUAAUUAUUUAGAAAUAGUAAGUGAAAUAAAGCCUUGUAAUGCAAAAGAAA